rnacentral:lncRNA from 10 species
GCCUCCCCUCCCUCAUUCCUGAUCACACACCUGCUGCAUCCACAGGUUCUGUCCCUUGGGGAUCCAGGGGCCACAGGCCAAGCCCAUUUGGCCAAUGGACUGUCCUGCCGGCUACUACUGCCCUCUGGGUACCCAGACCCCCACCCAGCACCCAUGUCCCAGGGGCACCUUCCGAGAGAGGCCUGGGGCACGCAGCGCCAAGGAUUGUAGACCCUGUCCUCCAGGACAAUUCUGCUCUGAUUCAGGGGCUGGGAAGCGCCUCCCGGAUGGGCCGUGCUCAGCCGGCUAUUACUGUCCCCUUGGCCAGACCUCAGCCACCCCUACGUCUUUCCGGUGCCCACAGGACUUCUACUGUCCUGAGGGAUCAUCCCAGCCAAGGGCCUGUGAGAUUGGAACCUUCCAGCCCCAGGGGGCCCAGAGCUCCUGUGAGCCCUGCCCUUUGGGAUUCUACUGCAAAGCCUCCCGCCCAGGAUCCCGCUCAGCCACAGCCCACCCAUGCCCUCGGGGGACAUUUGGGCCCAGGCGAGGAACCACUACAGAGCUGGACUGUGAGCCCUGCCCAGCAGGAAUGUUCUGUUCAUCGGAAGGGCUACCCCAGCCCUCGGGGCUCUGCCAUUCUGCCCACUACUGCACAGGGGGGCUGUGUCCCCCACCCCCAUCAAACACAAGGUGGACGCGCCAGGACUCUCUGGGAAUGACAUCUGUCCACCUGGCUUCUUCUGCCCCAAAGGAACAAGCUCUCCAGUGCCUUGUCCUCCUGGGUUUUACUCCUCCGUUCCAGGCCUGGGCAGCAAGGACCAGUGCCAGCCGUGUCCCCCAGGGCGCUACUGCAGCCGGCCGGGGCUGACCAGCACCCUGGAGGCAGGGCUUUGCGAUGCAGGGUAAGGGGGUGCUGGUCCUGAGCUCCUCAGGAAGAGGAGGCGGGAGGGUCCCCAGCACAGGCCAGAGCCUGCCAGGGCCUCCAGGUCACAAACACGUCCUAAAUUCCCGUGGUCUCUCCGCAGCCCCUCUGGGGAGCACAGACCAGGUGACUCUCUCGCUGCUUGCAGGCCUUAGACGUUCCAUCCCCAGACAUAGGGC